UACGUAGGGGGCAAGCGUUGUCCGGAUUUAUUGGGCGUAAAGAGCGUGUAGGCGGCCAGGUAGGUCUGCUGUGAAAACUCGAGGCUCAACCUCGAGAUGUCGGCGGAAACCAUCUGGCUAGAGUCCGGAAGAGGAGAAUGGAAUUCCCGGUGUAGCGGUGAAAUGCGCAGAUAUCGGGAAGAACACCCGUGGCGAAGGCGGUUCUCUGGGACGGUACUGACGCUGAGACGCGAAAGCGUGGGGAGCGAACGGG
rnacentral:rRNA from 1 species